rnacentral:rRNA from 1 species
AUUGAACGCUGGCGGCAGGCCUAACACAUGCAAGUCGAGCGGAUGAAGGGAGCUUGCUCCUGGAUUCAGCGGCGGACGGGUGAGUAAUGCCUAGGAAUCUGCCUGGUAGUGGGGGAUAACGUCCGGAAACGGGCGCUAAUACCGCAUACGUCCUGAGGGAGAAAGUGGGGGAUCUUCGGACCUCACGCUAUCAGAUGAGCCUAGGUCGGAUUAGCUAGUUGGUGGGGUAAAGGCCUACCAAGGCGACGAUCCGUAACUGGACUGAGAGGAUGAUCAGUCAUGCAGGAACUGGACGAUGGUAGAGAAUCGGAGGGGAGGAGGGAGUGGGUAAGAGUGGGCGAGGGGGGGAAGGGUGACACGGCGAGGCGGGGUUGGGGAAGAAGUUGUUCGGAUGGUGAAGGACUGUGAGUUGGGAGGAAGAGCAGUAUUUUAUUACCGUGCGGUUUCGACGAAACCAACAGAAGCAGCACCGGCAAUCUUCGCGCCAGCGGCCGCGGUAAUAAUCGGAAGAGCACAGGUCCGAAC